AUCUGAAGGUGGCAUCAGUUGUCUUAAAAGCACCAUAAAUGUCUCGAAUUUUUUCUUCCAUAGAUCCACCUUACCUUACCAUCGAUAAUUUCGAGGACUGUCUGGCUUCUGAUGAUGUUCUGGUGCACUUCUUUAAUGAGUUCCUCCGUCUACCUUCUUUCCCUGAGUGUGUACAGUACAACAAGGAGACUGGUGUGUUUGAGGUGGUCAGUGAUGCAACGGAGGCUCUAUCUAGGAGGAUCAGGUCAGACCUGCAGUACUUUCAAUCACAACCUUUCACUGACCCAACAGAGCUGGCUGCUAGACCCAUGGUGGA